GCAGUUCGACGCUUGGAGCGCCGAGAUGCUCCGGAUGGUGAUUACCCUCUUGGAGGAGGCUUUUCGUCCGCCCCACCUGUUCAUGUAUUCUUAUUGUUUAUGUUUUUUUACUUAAGGCUAGCUUGUUAAUUCUCUCUCUCUCUCACACACACACACACACACACACAUAUAUAUAUAUAUAUAUAUAUAUAUAUAUACGGAUUAAUGAUUUAUAUUUUUGAUUCUAUCAACAGGGUGGCGAUGACGAGCAGACUGGCGAUGACGAGCAGACUGGCGAUGACGAGCAGGCGCACGACGCUGAUUUCCAUACACCAGAGCAGCGUCGUUAACCUCCGCCCGAUGAUGAUACUUUUACUAGUUUAUAGUUCAUUUGUAUUCAUGUUAUUGUAGAACAUUAAUUUGUAUAUAUUAUAGUGUCUAAUUGCAUCUGUACAAGUAUUGUAAAUUAUAUUAUUUAUCAUUUAUGGAACAUUAACUUAUAUUUGUAAUUGGUUAGCUCAGUAGUGUUGAUGAUAAUGAGUUGAAGAUUACGUUUUGGUGGAUAUUUGAAUGUGAAUGUAUGUGAAUGAUAAUGAGUAC
rnacentral:lncRNA from 1 species